rnacentral:rRNA from 1 species
CCCCUAGACGUUCUGGGCUGCACGCGCGCUACAAUAAUACGCACAGCGAGUAUCACCGAGCUCGAAAGGGCAAGGUAAACAAUAGAAAAGGUACUGUAAUGGUUAUAGAUCCUUGUAAUUAUUGAUCUUCAACGAGGAAUUCCUAGUAAGUAUGUGUCAUCAUCACGCACUGAUUACGUCCCUGCCCUUUGUACACACCGCCCGUCGCUCCUACCGAUUGGGUGAGCCGAUGAAACUCUCGGAUGUAGGCUAUUCAUAGCCCGCAGAAGAGAUUUGAACCGUAGCGCUUAGAGGAAGGAGAAGUCGUAACA